UAUAGUAAAAAAGAACUCAACACAAAGCCCACAUUUCAAUAGAGAAAAAAAAAGUCUACUACAAUGGCCCAAACCCAUUUACAUAACCCUAAGUAUAAAAGAUAUGAUUAAAUGCUACUACGCCGAGGAAUAUAAAUGUACGGCCGCAAAGAAAUAUACAAUUUACAGCCGCUGCUCUCUCUUCUUUUCUUCAAACUCCGCCUCUUCUUAUUCUUCC
rnacentral:lncRNA from 1 species